rnacentral:rRNA from 1 species
UACGUAGGGUGCGAGCGUUAAUCGGAAUUACUGGGCGUAAAGGGUGCGCAGGCGGCGUCGCAAGUCAGGCGUGAAAUCCCCGGGCUUAACCUGGGAACUGCACUUGAAACUACGAUGCUGGAGUAUGGCAGAGGGAGGUGGAAUUCCACGUGUAGCAGUGAAAUGCGUAGAGAUGUGGAGGAACACCGAUGGCGAAGGCAGCCCCCUGGGUUAACACUGACGCUCAGGCACGAAAGCGUGGGGAGCAAACAGG